AUGCAAGUCGAACGAUGAUCCCAGCUUGCUGGGGGAUUAGUGGCGAACGGGUGAGUAACACGUGAGUAACCUGCCCUUAACUCUGGGAUAAGCCUGGGAAACUGGGUCUAAUACCGGAUAUGACUCCUCAUCGCAUGGUGGGGGGUGGAAAGCUUUAUUGUGGUUUUGGAUGGACUCGCGGCCUAUCAGCUUGUUGGUGAGGUAAUGGCUCACCAAGGCGACGACGGGUAGCCGGCCUGAGAGGGUGACCGGCCACACUGGGACUGAGACACGGCCCAGACUCCUACGGGAGGCAGCAGUGGGGAAUAUUGCACAAUGGGCGAAAGCCUGAUGCAGCGACGCCGCGUGAGGGAUGACGGCCUUCGGGUUGUAAACCUCUUUCAGUAGGGAAGAAGCGAAAGUGACGGUACCUGCAGAAGAAGCGCCGGCUAACUACGUGCCAGCAGCCGCGGUAAUACGUAGGGCGCAAGCGUUAUCCGGAAUUAUUGGGCGUAAAGAGCUCGUAGGCGGUUUGUCGCGUCUGCCGUGAAAGUCCGGGGCUCAACUCCGGAUCUGCGGUGGGUACGGGCAGACUAGAGUGAUGUAGGGGAGACUGGAAUUCCUGGUGUAGCGGUGAAAUGCGCAGAUAUCAGGAGGAACACCGAUGGCGAAGGCAGGUCUCUGGGCAUUAACUGACGCUGAGGAGCGAAAGCAUGGGGAGCGAACAGGAUUAGAUACCCUGGUAGUCCAUGCCGUAAACGUUGGGCACUAGGUGUGGGGGACAUUCCACGUUUUCCGCGCCGUAGCUAACGCAUUAAGUGCCCCGCCUGGGGAGUACGGCCGCAAGGCUAAAACUCAAAGGAAUUGACGGGGGCCCGCACAAGCGGCGGAGCAUGCGGAUUAAUUCGAUGCAACGCGAAGAACCUUACCAAGGCUUGACAUGAACCGGUAAUACCUGGAAACAGGUGCCCCGCUUGCGGUCGGUUUACAGGUGGUGCAUGGUUGUCGUCAGCUCGUGUCGUGAGAUGUUGGGUUAAGUCCCGCAACGAGCGCAACCCUCGUUCUAUGUUGCCAGCGCGUUAUGGCGGGGACUCAUAGGAGACUGCCGGGGUCAACUCGGAGGAAGGUGGGGACGACGUCAAAUCAUCAUGCCCCUUAUGUCUUGGGCUUCACGCAUGCUACAAUGGCCGGUACAAAGGGUUGCGAUACUGUGAGGUGGAGCUAAUCCCAAAAAGCCGGUCUCAGUUCGGAUUGGGGUCUGCAACUCGACCCCAUGAAGUCGGAGUCGCUGUAAUCGCAGAUCAGCAACGCUGCG
rnacentral:rRNA from 1 species